rnacentral:rRNA from 1 species
UACGAAGGGGGCUAGCGUUGCUCGGAAUCACUGGGCGUAAAAGGUGCGUAGGCGGGUCUUUUAAGUCAGGGGUGAAAUCCUGGAGCUCAACUCCAGAACUGCCUUUGAUACUGAAGAUCUUGAGUUCGGGAGAGGUGAGUGGAACUGCGAGUGUAGAGGUGAAAUUCGUAGAUAUUCGCAAGAACACCAGUGGCGAAGGCGGCUCACUGGCCCGAUACUGACGCUGAGGCACGAAAGCGUGGGGAGCAAACAGGG